UCCAACACAUUUAACUAAAGCUAGUACAUCUGAUCCACUCAUUCCUGAUCUGACCUGUCCUCAUCACUCCCAAAAUAAACCUGAACAUCUUCAGCUUUUCAAUCUUUAGUUCUGUGAUAUUAUCAUUGACACCAGCUAUAUUUCCAUUGAACAGAAAGUUGAAAUUUCAAAUUGAAAUUAUGAAAAUGAAUUUGCUGAAUGGAAACACUCCAAUUUAGAAAAAAGCUAAAUUUUUUUGGUAAAGGUUUCUGUGCUAGAAUGACUUGGUUUUUCAGCCAUACUGAAACAGAUGUACAGUAUUUAGCAAAACUGCAGUGGAAACAGUUUUUUGUUGUUUUUUGGACAAUGUCCAGCUGGCUCCACCUCUCAUAGUAUCACACAGGUCAUUAAAAGUUUUGUGUCAUCCCAACAUGUUGAAUCCAUAGCUCUUCUGGAAAAUGGGCGACUACAAUUUCCCCAAAGACGCCGCAUACAUAAUCGCUCCCAAAUAUUAGGGGCUUGUUGCUCCAACGCCUGAAUAAGACACCACCAUCUCCUCUGAUGGCUGAUACAUGAUGAGGGCUAUUCAUAAACUGACCAAAUGUUUUCUCUCCUAGCCUCUUCACUGCUACUGGUUUCCUCAGUCUCCAGUGGAAUCCUGCUGCUGGUCCUGCUGGUGUCUCUAGCAGUCUGUCUGGGCUGCAGGAGGAAACUUUGCUCUAAACGGCCCAUACCGUCUGACCAAAACCAAAUGUCUUUCCAGCAGUUAAACACAAAAUACGACGAGAAUGAUCAGGACGACUAUGGAAAUAUUGAUGCAAUUCGCUUAGUAAAGAAACUGGAGAUGGACAAAGAGUCAACAAGUGAUGAUGAUCAUGAUUAUGAAGAUGCAGUCAUUAACUUAGGACAAGUCACUGUUGGUGUGGAAGAUCCUAGAGCAGCAGAACAAAGACCUGAAGAAGAUGAAAGCACAGAUGAUGAAGACGAUGACUAUGUGAAUGUUACCGAACCCUGGAAAGAUGACGUGGUGCAAAAUCAUGAAUAUGUGUAUUAAUAGAUGAAAGCUGAAUAUUUAUGCUGCAUUGGAUUGAUAGUUAUACACACACACACACGCCCACACACACAUACAUAUAUAUAAAACUAUUUUGCUUUAAAAAGUUGAUAAAGGACUAGUUUUAGGUACAGUAAUGUACAUUAGCUGUUUAAAAUAAUAAAUGUAGUUUUAGACAGGAGUUAUAACAUCUUUAUUACCCAUGGUAAAUUGUGAUUUACCGGGUGUCACCAUUAGUGAGGCAGAAAUAAUAUUUCAUUCUGAUAUUGAUCCAGGGAUGAUUGUACAUGAAUGUUACUAACCAGAGUUGAGACUGUAUGGUUAAUUUCCAGUCACAGAUUUUUUUAGACCUGCUAACUUUGAUUUCAGCUGAUUUCUCUCCAGGAACCGAAAAAAAGUUCUUUCCUUUAUUCUCUUUGUGAAUACAUUUAUACAGUAUGUGUGUGGUAAUUCCACAGGUUUACAGGGGGAAAAAACCACAUGGUGACAGAAUUAACAGAAGAUUGUAUGUAUUUUAUUUUUAUUUUUUCUUAAUAGUAACAAUGUUUUUUAAAUUAUUAUUCUUACUGCUAUUAAAUUGACUAUUUAGGCAGAUUAGAAAAAAAUAGAAAUGACAAUUUACCAAAAGAAAAACAAUGAAAAAUAUGUUUAUCAUAAUUCAUGUUGGGGGGGAAACAGACUCCAACUCAGAGAAUAAGAAGCCAUGUUUUUUUUUUUUUUCCAACAGUAUAAAACAAUUUUAAAUAUCUAUUUUAAUGUUCUAACUUGUAAAGCAUUCAAAGCCAGAGCACUUAAUAAAAAAAUUACAAAAUAUUUUUGUUAACAAUGUUUCUUGUCUUAAUGCAUUCAAGCAGCCAGAGUCCAAACUGAAAUCUGAUAUCAGGAUGAAGAUAAUAUUUUAAUUUGUGUCGUUUCCAAUCAUAAAUGUCUUAUUUGAUUUACCAUAACUUAAAAACCUGAGGGGGAUUAGUUGUUUUUAAAAGAACUAUAGUGAUUUACACAUACUGUCACAGUUAUGUACUGUGUACACAUGAAAAAAUAUACGUGAAUAUUAGACACUGAUCCUCAGAUCAGUUUAUGAAAGCUGUAUCUGCCAAAAAAUAAAAAAAAACAACGGUUAUUGCCGAAAUGGGCCCCUCAUAUGCUGGUUGUAUCUUGACACCUGAUCAUAUAUCAUGUUGUGUAACUUUUGUGAGGAGCCAGACUUUAAAUGACCCCCUUCACCUCCAUCACUGAGGCCUGUUGCAGCUGACGCUCCACUGAUGGAUCAGCUGGGUAGAAGCUGUUUGUCCUGUACAUGCUUUAAAUGCUUUUAUAAGACAUUGCUGUUCCAGAGUCGUUUCAGCUGACCUCUGACCUCUGGCAUACAGGCCUGCCAUGCACACACUUACACAGCCAAUGUGAAUUCUUCUGCGAAGCAACUCUGGACAGUUGACUCACAAAUGAUCUGGCUGGCCUUCACACACCAAACAUGGAUUAAAAGAACAUAACAUGUGUAAGAAGGCAGUACAUAUACUGUACAUUUAUACUGUAAUCUUAUUCCCUCACCUGGAAAAUGACCCCAAGCGACACAUCAUUUUACAUUUUUCGAGCAUUUUACGUGUUUUUUUUCAGAUGUGUUAAAGAUUGGGCUUUCCUGCUUAUCACUAUAACCUCCAGAUGUGGCAGAUAUGUAACAUUUCCUGGAAACAAAUCAUAACCGCAGCGCCUCGUCGUCACAUGACCCCCCACCCCACCAAACGAAGAUCAGUUCAAGUCCUCACUUGUAGCUCUGAUGUUUCCUACUAGAUAAGCACCAUGUCGUUUAAUGUACAUGUGCAGAGAAGACAGAAGGGGUUUAAGUGCAUGUACUUUAAUGUACUUUAAGCAUAAUGAAUGUUUGGUUGUAAAGAAAUUCGGGUUUGUCUUGUGCUUUACAGGCACCUUGUUGGAUUUGUACGAACCCCUUAACUGGUGAUAUCCCAUCCAUGGGAUAAAUCUAGUUUGUUUGAAUACUCUGCCUUUUUCCCUGCCAAUUAAGGGGCUAAUAUAUAUUUAAAAAGUGUCGACGGGUGCCUUCUGACUUUUUUUCACAUUUACCAACCAAAAUACAAACUUGCUAUUUUGCCAAGAAAAAUGCCAUAUUAACCUGUAACUUCCUGGAACAUUUUAGGCAUCUAACCAAAGAGUUAUGCAAAUGAAGACAAGAAGUGCACCUGUUCACCAGGGGUAAAAUGAUGAAACAAUUAUACAUUUUUUGCACUGUUCUUUAAAUGACAAUUUGGAAAAGAAAUAUCUGUAUAUAAAAUGCAUUGAACUGCUAAUAAAAUAUUACAAUAGCAAUUCAAAGGUUGCAUUUAAGUGUUUUCUGAAAUAGAACUUUCACCAAAUUCAAUCAGAAUUUAUGUGAUUACAACUCAGAAUAAAACCUUUGGACAAAACAUAUAUAGUUGAGUGAAAAACAUGAGAGUUAAAACCUUUUCAAAGGUUAAAGGGCACCAGUGCUGCUCCAGUCAUUUUCCAGCUUUGAGAGACCUGGCAUGUUUAAAGACAGUGCCAUAUUAUUGAAAUAUAUGUCAUUUUUCUAAAUCUAAUAAAAUGCUAACAGUCCAUCACAAAAUAACAAAACAUGUUUUUUUGUGUGUUUGUUUUUUGUUCAGAAGGUGCCAUGUUUUCCUCAGGUGGUGCGCCUCGCUAUUUGUGUAUCAUUUGUACAACUUUUUACUUUGUGCAAAAGUAUAAUUUACAGCAGGUGUCUUCCUGCUUUUGAUUAUUUACGUUUGGUGAUGAGCUCCACGUCUCGGCUGUCCUCACCAUCAGCUCAGUCUCUUGGAUCCUCCACAGACCGUCAGAUUGUACUCAGGUCUCUUUCUUUGGGGCCUCAUACAGAUGUGGACAUCCUUGGCAGCUGCUUCAUUUACUUAUACCUUGGGCUGGCUCUGUU